GACGAACGCUGGCGGCGUGCCUAAUACAUGCAAGUAGAACGCUGAAGAGAGGAGCUUGCUCUUCUUGGAUAAGUGGCGAACGGGUGAGUAACGCGUAGGUAACCUGCCUUGUAGCGGGGGAUAACUAUUGGAACCGAUAGCUAAUACCGCAUAACAAUAGGUGACACAUGUCAUUUAUUUGAAAGGGGCAAUUGCUCCACUACAAGAGGGACCUGCGUUGUAUUAGCUAGUAGGUGAGGUAACGGCUCACCUAGGCGACGAUACAUAGCCGACCUGAGAGGGUGAUCGGCCACACUGGGACUGAGACACGGCCCAGACUCCUACGGGAGGCAGCAGUAGGGAAUCUUCGGCAAUGGGGGCAACCCUGACCGAGCAACGCCGCGUGAGUGAAGAAGGUUUUCGGAUCGUAAAGCUCUGUUGUAAGUCAAGAACGAGUGUGAGAGUGGAAAGUUCACACUGUGACGGUAGCUUACCAGAAAGGGACGGCUAACUACGUG
rnacentral:rRNA from 1 species